CGGGUGCACUGAUCCAGCCGGGCCUUUCCCUCUGUGGAACCCCAUGGCCUUCACUGGCUGUGGUGGGGAAACAGGACUUUUACUUUGAAAAAAUUAGAGUGCUCCAGGCAGGCCUAUGCUCGAAUACAUUAGCAUGGAAUAAUAGAAUAGGACGUGUGGUUCUAUUUUGUUGGUUUCUAGGACCGCCGUAAUGAUUAAUAGGGACAGUCGGGGGCAUCAGUAUUCAAUUGUCAGAGGUGAAAUUCUUGGAUCUAUUGAAGACUAACUACUGCGAAAGCAUUUGCCAAGGAUGUUUUCAUUGAUAAGGAACGAAAGUUAGGGGAUCGAAGACGAUCAGAUACCGUCGUAGUCUUAACUAUAAACUAUGCCGACUAGGGAUCGGACGAUGUUAUUCUUUGACGCGUUCGGCACCUUUCGAGAAAUCAAAGUGCUUGGGCUCCAGGGGGAGUAUGGUCGCAAGGCUGAAACUUAAAGAAAUUGACGGAAGGGCACCACCAGGGGUGGAACCUGCGGCUUAAUUUGACUCAACACGGGGAAACUCACCAGGUCCAGACACAGUGAGGAUUGACAGAUUGAGAGCUCUUUCUUGAUUCUGUGGGUGGUGGUGCAUGGCCGUUCUUAGUUGGUGGAGUGAUUUGUCUGCUUAAUUGCGAUAACGAACGAGACCUUAACCUGCUAAAUAGCCCGUACUGCUUUGGCAGCUCGCCGGCUUCUUAGAGGGACUAUCGG
rnacentral:rRNA from 1 species